AUUUGCAGUUAAGAGCUAAGGCCACGUGAGUGGAAAGAAAAUAAAUGGCCAUAUUAGGUUUACGGGAAGUGUAUUGUGUGUUGAUUUCUAUGACACCGAUAUGUUAUUCGUGGAGGCCACCAAGGGAAAAUAGUUACAUAGAACUUGUCACCAUCAGUUUACGCACCAGGCGUGUGACCCCUGACAUGGGAGGGGCAUGUGCCCCUUUCCUGGGAGACUGUCUCUCCUGGUUUGAAAGAGUUAAGUCAUUGAAAUCGGCUCAUUUGUCUGUGGAAUGUGACCUGCCCUGGGUCAGGGGAGGCUCCGGGCUCCGGGAAGGCGGCUGCACCAGCCGGGGCUGCAAAAGAUGAUCCGUAAUCUCCUGCUGGCCUCCCCUUCCCCGGAAACCCCACCCACCGGCUCUGCCUGGUCCUAGAUCUGGGAAACCCAUGAGAGGGAAACAAAGAGAAGAAAAUGACAUGAGUUGGAGCGGUGACCACUCCGGAUCACGACGCGUCGUGAGCGCGAGCUCAGAAACGAGCAAAAGGAGCCCAAGCUUUCCCGGCGGUGCUGAGGCGGAGACCCCGGUGUGUGGCCACGCUGGAACGCACCGAGUGUGCACUUUACACAUGGGCGGUGCAGGGGCGCGGGGACUCAGUCGUCCAAGUGUCCGACUGCGGCUCGGGGCAUGUCCCACGGUUCGCGGGUUCGAGCCCCGCGUCGGGCUCUGUGCCAACAGCCUGGAGCCUGCUUCGGAGUCUGUGUCUCC